AUGUACAGAGCCCUGUCGAGAGCUAGGAGGAUGCAUUUGGCUGCAGUGAAGCUGAACCUAAAAUCAUGUUCACCCCACAGAUGGACAGCCCAGGCACCACUCUUUACCACACCAAGUGGACAGCGAUUUCCAUUUGGCUGUAGAAAGCUGAUGUUUUCAGUAGUGUUAGAGCCACGGUGUAUUCAAGGUCAGAGCUGGGAACAUUCCAACAACAAAUCUCUAUCGUGGACAGCAAUCCGUGGAAAAGAAAGUGGAGCAGCUGACCUGGCUGAUUGCCAGGAUCCCCAAGACCCAGGAAAGGCCCGACUGUGGCUGAUGACACUUGGGCCCCACAGGUGUGCCAAGCCAAGCCAGGGCUUUCAGCUCUGAGACUGCCUUCCCAAAGCAGGCUCCUGGGCUCCAGGCUGCAGUCCAGCACUGGGCUUAAAUUUGUCAUUUUCCUGCCUACCUGCCCAUAUUUGGGCACAGUUAAUCCAGAAUCAUCCACCUGGGGCCAUGCUGUGAUCUCAGAAAUGCCCGUCAGGUUGUGGCCUUGACGAGCAGCACCUCAGGGGCUGAGCUCCUCCAGAGCUACCAGAGACACUGCCUGCUCCCAGGACCUGGUGCUGGCUGAUGAGCAAGUGCAAGUGGAUGAACAUUUUCCUUGUUGAACAUUCUGAGAAAGUUGCCGAGCAGAAUUGCAAUCCGGACGGGAUGUUGCUGUGACUAACACUGUGAGCCUACAAACAUUGGGCCUGACGUUGUGACCCUACAAACAUUGGUGCUAAGUGAGUCCUUCCUGAGCUGGGGGGUAUUCCCCACAAGGAUGAACCUGUAGGUUAAAGGAUUGUGCACACCUGAGCAGGCUCUGGCUCCAUGAGUGUGCGACUCUGAAUGUGCUGCACCAAAUGGAGUAGGAAUGUUGCUCUCUGAUUCCUAAAUGCACUAGAUCCGUAAGUCAGGCCUGUGAGUUACUGUCAUCCUUCUAGUAAAUUCUACAGAGUCCUUUGUUGAAUUCUUUGAAUUAGGGUAUUAAUUCAGUGCCACUAUGUUUAAGUGCUGUUAAAUCUUUAGGCCUAAAUCUUGGGUAAAGUCUGAGGCUACGUUUUGCAGGGAGGUCCAUUCUGAACCCUGUGACUCAGUGACAGGGUCUCCCUUAUCCCUUUGCAUCCUCACCCUUUCCCAUUCUCUUUCUCCUGUUCUCAGCCUCCACAUAUAUCACUUUCAUUUGAUUUUAAUUUUAGAUUGAUUGACUCUCUGCGCUUGAGCUGUGAGUAGUAGAGUGAAACAUGUCAAUGAACUGUGCUGCACCUUCACUUUUAUGUUAAACCUGAUUUGGCAAUACCUUUUCCAGUGAUUCUUCGAGCAACCUAAAAGUAUCUGUUUGUGACAAACAUUUUUAGUUAAUGAAAAUUGUUAUUAGAAUUCUGCAACCAUGGCACUUUCUCCUGGUACAUAUCCAGGUAGCCCAACUGUCGGUGAAAUACAGGAGAGGGUUAUCAAGAAGUAUGAUAAACAAAUAUGCCAUGUGCAUAUGCAAACCUCUUCUGUGUUUUAUAAUAAAAUUUGUGCUUCAUAGAUGUGUUGCCUGCUC
ensembl:lncRNA